UACGGAGGGGGUUAGCGUUGUUCGGAAUUACUGGGCGUAAAGGGUUCGUAGGUGGUAUGUUAAGUCAGAUGUGAAAGCCCAGGGCUCAACCUUGGAACUGCAUUUGAUACUGGCAAACUAGAGUAUGGUAGAGGAAUGGGGAAUUUCCGGUGUAGCGGUGAAAUGCGUAGAGAUCGGAAGGAACACCAAUGGCGAAGGCAACAUUCUGGACCAAUACUGACACUGAGGGACGAAAGCGUGGGGAUCAAAC
rnacentral:rRNA from 1 species